UGCUGCAAAACACAAACGCAGGCCCCUUAAGAACCACUGGGCUGGGAAUGCCAGAGGGAGUUGUCCUUUGUGUGAGAAACAAGCUGGAAUGCAUGGAACUCCGCCUUGUGAUGAGUGAUGAGCUGAGAGCUGCUGUAUUGGGAACUGGCUAUCUUUGCAAGAGCUGGAAGUUGAGUUUUAUAGAAGAACAAUCAUCAGGGUUUGCUCAGUGAUUUCUAGUUGCUCCCUUAGGCUGGAAUUCAUCACUUCAGCUAUUACUGGUUUCUACAUUAAUUUUGGUCACCAAUCCAGAGCAGCUUAGCACCUUCAAAGCAGACUGCCCACCAAGCUUCUGUGAACUUUAUAGUUAACCUGUACAGAAAGAGGAAUAAUGUAUUGUAGCAAGAAUAGCUGCUGCCAGGGCACAAUGAUAAUGGUGGCGGUCACGUAAUCAUACCCUGGGAGUGUUGUAAGUUCUCACUAUAAGCCUGCCUACUGGAAAUAUUUUGCACAAAGGAAGAGACACAUCUCCAGGAGGAACAAUAAAGAUGAUUGUCU